GCGGUUGUGGCGGAAUGGCAGACGCGCUAGGUUGAGGGCCUAGUGGGAGUUAAAUCCCGUGGAAGUUCGAGUCUUCUCAACCGCAUCA
rnacentral:tRNA from 4 species